rnacentral:rRNA from 1 species
GGGCUCACACAAGCGGUGGAGGAUGUGGCUUAAUUCGAGGCUACGCGAAGAACCUUAUCCUAGUCUUGACAUGUAUGGAUUAACCCUGUGAAAGCAGGGCCACGCCUUCGGGUGGAACAUACACAGGUGCUGCAUGGCUGUCGUCAGCUCGUGUCGUGAGAUGUCGCGUUAAGUCGCUUAACGAGCGAAACCCUUGUCUCUAGUUGCCAGCGCGUAAUGGCGGGGACUCUAGAGAGACCGCCGGCGUUAAGCCGGAGGAAGGUGGGGAUGACGUCAAGUCCUCAUGGCCCUUACGUCCUGGGCUACACACGUGCUACAAUGGUAGGUACAGAGAGCAGCCAAUGCGCGAGCAU